rnacentral:rRNA from 1 species
AACGUAGGGGGCGAGCGUUGCCCGGAUUCACUGGGCGUAAAGCGGGUGUAGGCGGUUCUUUAAGUCGAUGUGAAAUCCUACGGCUCAACCGUGGAACUGCAUCCGAUACUGGGGAACUUGAGGACGGUAGAGGUCGGUGGAAUUCCAGGUGUACCGGUGAAAUUCGUAGAUAUCGGGAGGAACACCGGUGGCGAAGGCGGCGACCUGGGUCGACACUGACGCUGAGGCGCGAAAGCGUGGGGAGCAAACAGG